GAUGAAGAACGUAGCGAAAUGCGAUACGUAAUGUGAAUUGCAAAUUCAGUGAAUCAUCGAGUCUUUGAACGCACAUUGCGCCCCCUGGUAUUCCGGGGGGCAUGCCUGUCCGAGCGUCAUUACUGCCCUCAAGCCCGGCUUGUGUGUUGGGCCCCGUCCUCCGAUCCCGGGGGACGGGCCCGAAAGGCAGCGGCGGCACCGCGUCCGGUCCUCGAGCGUAUGGGGCUUUGUCACCCGCUCUGUAGGCCCGGCCGGCGCUUGCCGAUCAACCUCAAUUUUUAUAGGUUGACCUCGGAUCAGGUAGGGAUACCCGCUGAACUUAAGCAUAUCAAUAAGCGGAGGA
rnacentral:misc_RNA from 1 species